rnacentral:tRNA from 1 species
GCCCUUCUGGUGGAAUGGUAGACACGACGGAUUCAAAAUCCGUUGCCUUUGCGGGCGUCCCGGUUCGAGUCCGGGGAAGGGCACCA